rnacentral:lncRNA from 1 species
CUAAGACAUAUAAUAUUGAAUAGGAUUCUACAAGUCCUAUAUUGGCAACUAAUAAACCUAUUUAUUUUGCAUGAUAUUGUAAUUGAAUUUUGUUGUUUAAUUAUCAUUGAUGAUAAAACUUUUGUCCUUUUCUUAGAUCAUCCAGGGAAAAAUCGUAAUGUGAAGCCUAGUCAAUGUGGUCUUCCAAUGAAAGAUCCUUCCACAAGCCAAGAAUCAGAGAAAGUAGUCAAGACAAAACGAAAAUUAGGUAAAGUUGGUAAUUCCACAGUUUAGGAAGAAAAAAAUAUACUU